rnacentral:rRNA from 1 species
AACGAACGCUGGCGGCGUGCCUAACACAUGCAAGUCGCACGAGAAAUCCUGGGCAACCGGGAGAGUAAAGUGGCGCACGGGUGAGUAACGCGUGGGUAACCUGCCCUUGAGUUGGGGAUAACCCCGCGAAAGCGGGGCUAAUACCGAAUGAUAUUUCAGUUUCCACGAGAAUUGAAAUCAAAGAUGGCCUCUGCAUGCAAGCUAUUGCUCAUGGAUGGGCCCGCGUACCAUUAGCUUGUUGGUAGGGUAAAAGCCUACCAAGGCAACGAUGGUUAGCUGGUCUGAGAGGAUGACCAGCCACACUGGAACUGAGACACGGUCCAGACUCCUACGGGAGGCAGCAGUGGGGAAUCUUGCGCAAUGGGGGAAACCCUGACGCAGCAACGCCGCGUGGGUGAUGAAGGCCUUCGGGUCGUAAAGCCCUGUCAGGUGGGAAGAAACAUGCCGGUAUAAAUAAUGCCGGCACUUGACGGUACCACCGGAGGAAGCACCGGCUAACUCCGUGCCAGCAGCCGCCGUAAGAC